UACGGAGGAUCCGAGCGUUAUCCGGAUUUAUUGGGUUUAAAGGGAGCGUAGGUGGAUUGUUAAGUCAGUUGUGAAAGUUUGCGGCUCAACCGUAAAAUUGCAGUUGAAACUGGCAGUCUUGAGUACAGUAGAGGUGGGCGGAAUUCGUGGUGUAGCGGUGAAAUGCAUAGAUAUCACACAGAACACCGAUUGCGAAGGCAUCUCACGAAUCCGCUAUUGACGCUGAUGCACGAAAGCGUGGGUAUCAAACAGG
rnacentral:rRNA from 1 species